rnacentral:rRNA from 1 species
UACGUAGGGUGCAAGCGUUGUCCGGAAUUAUUGGGCGUAAAGGGCUCGUAGGCGGUUUGUCGCGUCGGGAGUGAAAAACACUGGGCUUAACUCAGUGCCUGCUUUUCGAUACGGGCAGACUAGAGGGCAUGCAGGGGGAGUAACGGAAUUCCUGAGUGUAGCAGUGAAAUGCGUAGAUAUCAGGAGGAAUACCGAUGGCGAAGGCAGGUCUCUGGGCUGACACUGACGCUCAUGCACGAAAGCGUGGGGAGCAAACAGG